rnacentral:rRNA from 1 species
ACGCGAAGAACCUUACCUGGCCUUGACAUACUAGAAACUUUCCAGAGAUGGAUUGGUGCCUUCGGGAAUCUAGAUACAGGUGCUGCAUGGCGUUCGUCAGCUCGUGUCGUGAGAUGUUGGGUUAUGUCCCGCAACGAGCGCAACCCUUUUCCUUACUUGCCAGCAUUUCGGAUGGGAACUUUAAGGAUACUGCCAGUGACAAACUGGAGGAAGGCGGGGCCGACGUCAAGUCAUCAUGGCCCUUACGGCCAGGGCUACACACGUG